rnacentral:rRNA from 1 species
AGAGACAGCAGUAGCCACGGGAAUACGGAGGGUGCAAGCGUUAUCCGGAUUUAUUGGGUUUAAAGGGUCCGUAGGCGGAUCUGUAAGUCAGUGGUGAAAUCUCACAGCUUAACUGUGAAACUGCCAUUGAUACUGCAGGUCUUGAGUAAAUUUGAAGUGGCUGGAAUAAGUAGUGUAGCGGUGAAAUGCAUAGAUAUUACUUAGAACACCAAUUGCGAAGGCAGGUCACUAAGAUUUAACUGACGCUGAUGGACGAAAGCGUGGGGAGCGAACAGGAUUAGAUACCCCCGUAGUCCCUGUCUCUUAUAA